rnacentral:rRNA from 1 species
UACAGAGGUCUCGAGCGUUAGUCGGAUUCAUUGGGCUUAAAGCGUGCGUAGGCGGAUGUGCAGGCGUCGUGUGAAAGCCCUCGGCUCAACCGGGGAAUUGCACGGCGAACCGCAUGUCUUGAGACAAGUAGGGGCGGCCGGAACGAUAGGUGGAGUGGUGAAAUGCGUUGAUAUCUAUCGGAACGCCAAAGGUGAAGACAGGCCGCUGGGCUUGUUCUGACGCUGGAGGCACGAAAGCGUGGGAGCAAACGGG